AAGCGGGAGGAGGAAGCUAGCGUUUUUUUCUUUCACUGUCUAUGUUUUUGUUGAUGUUUCUUGGGGAAGAAAACGCUCCACAGGAUGGACAUGGCCACGUCUUUAAAGUCUCUGUUGCUGGCUGUCCAGCAGUACAGAGACGGCAGGACAGCGCAAAACGCAGCGCAGCUACAGAAACAAGUGGAGGAGGUCUCAGGCCUUAAAUGUGACCAGCUGCUGUCCUCAGGCCAGGUCCUGCCCCGGGAGUGUGUGAGUGGGCUGGUGGAGCUGGCUGGAAACCGAACACCAGCC